rnacentral:rRNA from 1 species
GAGGUUAAGCGACUAAGCGUACACGGUGGAUGCCCUGGCAGUCAGAGGCGAUGAAGGACGUGCUAAUCUGCGAAAAGCGUCGGUAAGGUGAUAUGAACCGUUAUAACCGGCGAUGUCCGAAUGGGGAAACCCAGUGUGAUUCGUCACACUAUCGUUAACUGAAUACAUAGGUUAACGAGGCGAACCGGGGGAACUGAAACAUCUAAGUACCCCGAGGAAAAGAAAUCAACCGAGAUUCCCCCAGUAGCGGCGAGCGAACGGGGAGCAGCCCAGAGUCUGAAUCA